rnacentral:lncRNA from 1 species
CGCAAGUCAAUCUACUUCAAAAUUAGAAUUGUGAGAAUGGCGUGCGUCCUUUGAUGUGGACCCCCGCAGUGGCGACCAACUUGGCCCAUUGGCUCAGCCCAUGGUCAUGUAAAAUACUUGGAACUUUUCAGUGGCUGUAGAGUGGCGGACACCCAAUUCUAUGUAACAAGUGCCGACUUUGCCAAUUUUAUUCACAAACGAGAUUCAUUAAUUAUGUCAAAUGAAGACCAAGUUUCCCAAUUUUGAAGAAUCUCAAAAUUGGGUUGAAAUUAAUCAACUUAUCGUUCAUGAAAUGAUUUCCCAAUUCAACAACACCGGCGGCCCGCAAAAGGGUUGUUUAACACUACCCUGUAAUGCCACGCGCCGCCAAAAUGAGCCGAUGAAAAAAUCCGGCCACUCUGCGGGUAAAAAAAAGGUUUUCCGGCAAUUUUUUUGGAAGUGGGCAAUCGUGUCCGCUUCUGAGUGGAACCGGUGAAAAGAAUCCGGUAUAAGCCGGUGGGUUUCGGAUUUGAGUUUGUAACAGGGGAGAGGAAAAAGAACGAGUUCUGAACAGAGAGGACGGCCGAGCCCAUAAACAAGGCUCGGAAUCAUACACAGAAACCAUAAUUCAAUUGGAAUCAUCCAAACAACAAAAAAUAAAACAUAAAGAAGCCUGGAAAAUGAUGCUGAAAACUGAAAGAUACACACCUGAUCCCACCCCACCAUAGAACAGUGGGUGGAUCACAAGUUACAGCUACAAAUAGAUAGAGAUACGUAUCAUGGUUGGAGAGGGAAGAUCUUUUUCUCAUUCUUGUCUGCGGUGGGUUUGGGUGGUUCAGCCCCUCCACCACCCUUGAUGGGGCGGUGCUCUCCGCAGCAAUUUGGGAGCAGGGUAGCAAUGGAAUCCACCACGUACUCCAGCAUCAUCGUCUUCACAAGCUUCCUCUUUUUAGGGAUGAGACUCCCUGUAUUUUUGGGUUUGAAGAUGGGAGGCUUUGUGGCCAUUUCCUCCAUCCCUCUGUUUGUCUCUCUCCCUAUCGACGGUUAAUUCAAGCACUGGUGGGUGGUGAGGAGUGAAGACUUAUGGGUUAUAUUAUGUAUAUAACCUUCAAGGCAGCCUUCCACAAGAAGGCGCCUCUUGUCCGUUGAUAUAUGGACACGUGGUGCUAGUGGAUUGAAGGAUAGAUUGCAGGACACGUGGUGUAGUAGAUUGAAGAAUAGAUUGCAGGAUACGUUGAUGGAAUCAGCACGAUUCUCCCAAUUUAUCAUCUAAUCUUAACAUGACUCUCUCCUGAUAUCCCACUUGUUUUGACACGACAUCAUCACUGACUCACUUUCUUUCUUCAAAGUUGCCAUGUGAUUAGCGAACCGCAUAAUGUAUGGAAAGGUUCCACUUUUUUGACCGAUGAGACAAAUUCUCUAUAUUAUUAAAGAAUAAUCGUAAGUUUGUUACAUAAUGAUUUAAUAAUUAGAUACAAUAAGUGAAAUCAAUUUAACUACAAGUUGGGAGCAUGCUAACCUUUGCGCAUUGGACACGUGUCGUCCCUAUUAUUAAGGACUGAUCUCCCCUUCCUGUUACCUUGGGUAACUUAAAAUUUUAAUAUCAUAUCUAAUUUUACAUUUUCACACCUAUGCUACUUUCAUAUUGAAAUUAAAGUUUAUAUAAAAUAUACUUAAUUUUGAAUUUUUGAAAGUAACAGGCAAUAGUUAAUUUUUAUAAUAUUUAAAUUGACAUUUUAUUAAAAAUUUGACAAAUAAUAUUAUUCUUUUCCCUAAAGGACAAUCCCAAACUAUUGGUCCUUUUGGCUAUACCCCAGAAAAUCUUUGACGUCUUUUCUCCGAUGUAACAAAGCCAAUCAUACGGCCACGUCAUCUCCGUAGAGCCCUAAUCCAAUACAGGUUCUCUCGAGGUCUACCACUUGCAGCUUUUCUUUUUUUUAAAAAAAUACAGACUAUUUCAUCCACUAACGUCAUGCCACGUUGAUACUUAAGACUUAAGAGAUCAAUAUUUUUUAAUUUAAUAUUCCAGUCACCAUUUAAAUUAAUUAAAAAAUAAAAAAUAAAAAAUUUACCAAAAACGCAAUAUUUAAAAGAAAAAUGAGAGGGACAAAUGAUUGUACUCGGCAUCGUCACAGACAAAAUAAAAAUAAAUUAAUGGAAAAGGAAGUACCGUCCCCUCACACUUUCCCAUACUGUCGUUAAGGGAACAUUCCCCUUUAAUUCAACAAAAAUUUCAAUAAAAUAUCCUUACUUUUCGAUACUUUCACGCACUUAUAUGUACUAAGUUAAUUACUACCAAAUCUAAUUCACAAAUGGGAUUAGUCAACUUUAUUUUUUGAUUUCUUACUUUGAAAGAAAAUGAUUCCUAUUGGUCUAUUUUCUUCUUCUUUCUUUAUUUAUUUUUUUUCUUUUCUUUUUCCGACAGAGGUUUCCAGAAGUUUCACCGAAACUUCCCAUCUUCCCAAAUGUCAAAGGUAGCGUAUUUUUUAAUGUUUAAAUUUUAUUCUAGUUAUUUAGUAAAAAAUUAUAAAAAAAAUUGAUUUCCACCUAUUUUGUGGUUAUGUUUAAAUAUAUUUUAUUUUAAAAAUAUUUAUAUUUAUUUAAUGAUUAUAUUAAUAAGUAAAAUCAUAUUCAUUUUAUUGAAGAGAAGAUAAGAUUAAAUUUUAUUUAUUGUUUAAAAAAUAUAAUAUUUCAAAUUGUAAUUUAAUGACCUACAAUCUAUAUCAAAAUUGAAAAUAAGUUUUAUGAUAAAUUAAUAAAUUAUUUAUUUAUCUCUUAUAUUUAUUUUUAUUAAUAUUUAAUUUGGUUUAAAAUUGAAAUUAAGUCUUAUAAUAAUUCAAUAAAUUUAUUAUUUAUUUUCUAUAUUUGUUCUUAUUAAUUUUUUUUAUUAAUAAAUUCAAAUAUAUAAUGACUGCUUAAAAAUAUUGAAAUUAGAAGGGUUACCAUAUGUCCAUGCAUAUGUUAUAAUACUAAUGUUUUGAAAAAAAAAGAUAUUAUAUAAUAAGUAAUUAAGUAUUUCUUAUUAAAUUAAUUAAUCAUAAUGAAUAUAACUAUACUUAAUUUAAUUUAUCCUUUACUAUUUAAUAAACAGGCAUAUUUUAUUAUUUAUAGAAUUUUGACAAGUAAAAUAAUAAUCUUAUUCAAAUAUGAUUUAUAACUUUUAUAAAACUCAAAAAAAAGAGUAUACUUUAAUCAUAAUUUUCUAUUAAAUGGUAUCAAAGUUAAGUAUGAAAGUUGAGACGUUAUACUAAUAAGAGUACAUGUACCAAAGCAAGUGAGAAUAUGAAAAAAGUCAAAUAAAAAUAUUAGUAUAUAAUUUUUUUCCUUUUAAGUCUUGUAUAGAAAUCAAGGAGAUAUUUGAAAUCAAAUAAUUAAAUUAAACAUGAAACCAAAUUUCGGGACCAAAUUUUAUGAUAAUAAAAUUAUUUUUUAAUCAACUUUCUUAGAUUAAAAAAAUAAAUACCACCUUGAUUAUUGGCCAUAACAUUUACCAAUUUUAAAUUAAAUAUAUUGUUUAUUUCUUUUACACUAAAUUUGAAAAAAAAUUGUGUUAAUUAUUUUAUAUAUGUUUAAAUACUUUUUGUCUUUUAUAUAAGAUCUUUUUAAUUAAAAAAAAAAGAAAAAAAAAGAACAAAUAUGAAUUAAUUUGAGCAAGAAAUUUGUGGAUUAAAAAAAAUAUUUGGAAAAGAGAAAAUUUUCAAAUAGAUAGCAUUGUCAAACAAAACCCAAAAUAGUUGAAGUGAAAAUAUUGAAAAAAAUAUAAAAUGACAAAAGAAAAGAAAGAUUUUCAAACUUUAAAGAGAAUAAAAUUUAUAAUGAACGGGAAAUUUAAAAAGUUUUCAAAUGAUGAUUUUUUAUAACAUUAAUUAUAUUAAUAAUGUGGUUUUAAAGAUAAUGAAAUUUAUAACUUUAAGAAACUUUUGGAAUUUAAAAAAAAAAAAAGUGAAUGGUAAAUAAAGAAUUAAUGAUUGGUUUUAAUACAAUAUAUUUUCAAAAUAAAAUAUAUAUAUAUAUAUUAAAUUUAAAUAUUCUUAUGAAGAAAAUUAUUGACUUAUAUUAUGUUGUUUAGAAUUAUUUUUAAAAAUUAUAUUUUUAAUUCGUUUUUAAAAACCAUUCUAUAUUUUGUAAAACUUAUUAUUAUUUUUUGUUUGUAAAAAUAGUAAAUAGAAUCCAGAUUAAAUUAAAUAAUUUUAUAUAAAAAUAUAUAUAAUAUAUCAAAUUGUUCAAUCAACUAAAAAAUAUAUAUAUAAAGAAAAAAUAAGUUUUAUUCUAAAAAUAUUUUUAAAAAAUCAAAAGAAUUAAAAUCUCAAUAAAAAAUUCAUCAUUUUGAUAAAUUUAAUAUCAAAAUCUUAAUAUUUUUAAAAUAAUGUUAUAAUUUUCUUAAUAAAAUUUAAAUUUGUUCAAACAAAUAAUGUAAAUGAUUUAUGAAAGUUUUAUUCAAUAAUUAUCUAUAAUAUAAUAAGUGUUAUUAUUAAUUCACUAUUAUUUAAUUAAAUAUAAAAGUUUAAAAGAUUUAAAUAUCUCAAAAUGAAUGAAAAUCAUUAUUACAAUUGUAAAAAGUAAAAAGUUUUAUGUAAUUUUUUUUUAAAAAAAAUAAAGAAAUAAAGAGAUAGAGUUAGAGAAUUCCAACUCGGAAUUUUAUAGUGAUUCAGUACUUUCUUGCCUACGUCCACUCUCUUCAAUCUCCUAACCGAGUGAGGGUUCCACUAGCUUUAAACUUCAACCAAGCUUCCAAUCCCUUACACUUGAAUACCGACUCCAAUGGGCUCUUACACAAUCUUGAAUAUUCAAACCUCUUGAAAGGUUUAACACUCAAAUUUUAUAAGAAAGAUACCCUCAACUUAGCUUAAAGAUAGCUCAAAUACAAAGCAAGGCUAGGAUGACUCACAAGAGUACACUAAGAAAUAAACGAGAGCUUUUGGGCCAAGAACAUGUAGGUAGACAAUUGAUUGCAAGUAUUCUCUAUGUCAUAAAUGAAAUGAAGCUCUCAAUUUAUAGAUUUCUAAGCUCGAGAGCCAAAAACAACAAAAGGUAGCCUCGACCGGUCGAGUUAGGGGUCGAUCGAUUCACUAGCCGUUAGAGCAUUUAAUGCUUUGACAGGUUACCGUUGCCUCGACCGGAGGUCGACCAGAUCUUGACAGGGAAUGGGUGAACCUCAACUGGAAAAGGAAGUUACUGAAUGAGAGAAAGUACUUUUGGCACUCUUCGACCGGACCUCGAUCGAAGAAGGGCAACCGGUCGACCGGUUCCCUAACCGAUUGAGCCGGUUGGCUAGAGCUUCAACCGGUUCAGCAUUUUGGUCCCAAAAACCUAUUUUUAUCAAUUUCUUUUUUUUCUAACACUUAGGCAAGGUCUUUAGGUGAAUUAAUAUGUUAAUUUUAAAACGUUUUGCCUAAGGUACAUUUGAUAAAACUCGAGUUUUAAUUAAAUCGAAAUUUUAAAGGAUAAACCAAGUUUUCAAAGAUGCAUGAAACGAUAAGAAAAUCCUAAGUGCACUCAUGCAUUCAUCUUACAUUCGUUUCCUAUGAUCAGGAGUCUCCCAAAAGACUUGAUUUUGUAUCCAUUUGGUCAUUUGAUGAAUUUUUAAAUUUAUACCUGAGAUUAUUUACCAUUCAAAUUAAUUAGUCACUUAAUCAUAGUUUGUUAUCAUUAAACCCCGAUUAAGAGAACCAACCCUUGGGUUAACAGUAUUAAAUAUAUUUUAUUUAUUUUCUCAAAAUACACUGGAAUAUGAUUUAACAUACUUCAAAUUUUUUAUUAAGAAAAAAUAAAAAACCUGAUUUGUGGAAGAAUUCUAAACAAUUCCUAACUAUUCUUCAUCUUAAUUGUAAAUCCAAAAUCAGAAAAAUACUUUGCGAUGAUCUCUUAUCAUGACCAGACUUCUCUCUGCAUAUAUUAUAAAUAAACCAAAAUCAAUAGUUGAGACUGAUAGGAUGAAUGAUAUAAUAGUUGUGUUAGAGGAACGUUGGAUGAUUAUGUCGAAGAUGAAUGCUCAGUUUGAGAGGUUUUACACAAACAUUAACCUUUUCCUUCAUAGUUUAUUGAGAGCAAUUUUAUAAUUGAAAUUAAAUAGAAAAUUAAAAUGAAGUAUCAAAUUUGAAUAUAAAUGAAUGAAGAUGAAGGAGUAACAAAAAGAUCAUAAAGGUGAUUAUGACAAAUGAAUGUAAAAAAAGGUAAAAUAAAUAUGUAGAUUUAAUAAUAAGUUAGUUUUUUUUUACUUAAACUUUUUUAUUUUUAUUUUAAGUUAUGUCAUUAAAUUAUUUUACCAAACAUAUUUAAUUUAUUUAAUAACCUAAAUUAAGUCAUUAAAUCACUUUAAGUUAUUAAGUUGGUUUAUCAAAUACCUACUUACUAUGUCAUUUUUUUUUCUUUUUUCUUUUUGUUAAAAUAUUUAUAUUCAAAUUCAAACUUUUAUGAAGUUAUAUUGUGUUAUUAAAAAUAAUUUUCAAAUAUUUUAAAAUUUGUAAAAAAUUAAUAAAUAAAAAAAACACUUCCUUAAAUUUUAAAAUUUUUGAAAAAUAUCAAUUUUGUCUCUUGUUAUCCUUUAAGUAAAAUAAAUUCCUUUUUAUGAUAUAUUUUUUAAAACAUAUUAAAAAAAUGAAUAUUUCUAAAUACCACAUAAACUGCUUCAAUAAUUUAAUAUAAAUAAUAAAAUUAUCGAGAAUUUUUUACAUCCAUCUCAAAACACCAUGUUCUAAGUUUUUAACAUAAAAUUUAAGAUUGUUGAGACUUGAGAGUCAAAUUUAAAAGGAUUAGCUAACCACUCCAUAUUAUGAAGAAAAAAAAAAUCAAAAUUUUGGUUUCAAUAGAUGCGAGAAAUUCAAACUUACACUCAUUUCUUAUAAAUCAAAAUUUUGGUAUGAAUAAUUAAGUUAGUUUGCGUUAAAAGCCUUUCGAGGGUGUUUGUUUGUUUUUUUAUAUAACUUUUUGUUAAAAGUAAUCUGUUUUUAGACUUUAGGUCAUUUGUUUUUCUAUUUUCUUUUAUUAUUUAUUAUAAUUUUUUGUUCAAUAGAAAAAACCAAAUAUUUUGAGGGUGUUCGUUUUUUUUUUUUUACUAAAAGUAAUUUGUUUUUAGAAUUUAGGUCGUUUGUUUUUCUAAUUUUUCAUGACUUAUUAUAAACUUUUUACUAAAUAAAAAAAAUCAAAAUAUUUAACUUUUCUAAAUAGAAAAAAUAACAUAUUGAUUUUUUUUUUUUUACUUUUUAAUACUUAAUAGAAAUAAAAUACUACAGAAACAAACAAACUAAUAUUUAAUACUAUUAAACAUUAAUGUUUUGUUUAGAAUUGAGUAAAAAAACAAACACAACCUUUGACUUUUUAUAAAUCGAAAAAGUAACAUGUGUAUAUUUCUUUACCUUUCAAUGUAUUAUAAAAAGCAAUAAUAUAAUAUUUAACACUAUUAAGUAUUAAAGUUCUAUUUAAAAUUAAAAAAAAAACACACACCACCUACAUAUGUAACUCUGGUGCUGAAAUUUUCUAAAUGUUAAAAAUUUAUUAGAAAAAUUUUACUAGCCCAAGUCAAUCUAUGUUGAAAAGGCCUUAAAAAAACACAAAGGGUUUUAGUAAUGAAAUAUGGCGUGGGUAUUUGGACAUGGACCGGCUGGUAGUGGUGGCGGCCCACUCGGCCCGCAUUUAGAGAAUGUUGAGUUUUGAUUCUUUUGAAUGAUGUUAAAAAUAUAUAUAUAUAUAUAUAUAGAAAAAUAAUAAUAGAGAAAAUCAUUCCACUCUAUUUGAAAAACAUGGAGAAUGUGAUAAUUUUUUAUUUUUUAAAAAAAAAAGUAUUUGUGUAUUAGGGUAAUUGAUAAUUUUGUUUCAUUUCUUGUCAUUAGAGGUGACUUGUGUUUAAUCGGUGUCAAGAUCAAUAUAGGGAUUUGGAUUUGGAUUUGGAUGUAUUAAGGUAAGUAUGAAUUUAAAUAUUAAUAAAACUAUUAGAAUGUCUAAUACAAAUUAGGUUGAAAAGUUUGAAAAGAAAAUUUUGGCAAAAUUUAAUUUUGGGAAAGCUCUUUUCUUUACCAUUUUUUUAUUUCUAAUUUGUUUCUUCAAACUUUUUAACACCCAAAUAUUAUAUUAAAUUACACAUAAUACACAACAUCAAUGAAAAUAAAAUCCUUUAUUUAUAUUUUAGAUAAAAAUUAUAUUUAUUUGUAUUUUUAUUUUUAAAAUCUGAGAGAGAAAAUUUUGGUAUGGUGUUAAAUUAUUAAUUUGACUUAAGAGCCUUGAUAUUUAACUGGACUUGAAAAAUGUAAUAAAAAAUUUUAAAAAUAAAAUUAAAAAAACAAAGAAAGAAGGUAACAUCACCGCAGAAAAGCAGGCCCCGCAAGUCAACCUACUUCAAAACGGCCAACCUCCAAAAAAAAAUGUAAAAUAAAAUAAAAUUAGAAUUGUGAGAAUAAGGCGUGCGUCCUUCUACGUCGACCCCGCAGUGGCGACCAACUUGGCCCUUGGGCUCAGCCCAUGGUCAUGUAAAAUACUUGGAACUUUACAGUGGCUGGAGAGCGGAGUACACCCAAUUCUACGUAAACUUUGCCAAUUUUAUUCACAAACGAGAUUCAUUAAUCAUAUCAAAUGAAGACGAAGUUUCCCAAUUUUGAAGAAUCUCAAAAUUCGGUUGAAAUUAAACAACUUAUCGUUCAUGAAACGGUUUCCUAAUUCAAUAACACAGGCGGCCCGCAAUAGGGUUGUUUAACACUACCCUGUAAUGCCACGCGCCGCCAAAAUGAGCAGAUGAAAAAAUCCGGCAACUCGACGGGUAAAAAAGGGUUUUCCGGCAACUUUUUUGGAAGUGGGCAAUCGUGACCGUCUCUGAGUGGAACCGGUGAAAAGAAUCCGGUAUAAGCCGGUGGGUUUCGGAUUUGAGUUUGUAACAGGGGAGAGGAAAAAGAACGAGGUGUGAACAGAGAGGAUGGCCUAAGAGCCCAUAAACAAGCCUCGGAAUAAAAAGGUUUUCCGGCAACUUUUUUGGAAGGGGGCAAUCGUGACCGCUUCUGGGUGGAACCCUGAAAAGAAUCCGGUAUAAGCCGGUGGGUUUCGGAUUUGAGUUUGUAACAGGGGAGAGGAAAAAGAACGAGGUGUGAACAGAGAGGAUGGCCUAAGAGCCCAUAAACAAGCCUCGGAAUAAAAAGGUUUUCCGGCAACUUUUUUGGAAGUGGGCAAUCGUGACCGCUUCUGGGUGGAACCGGUGAAAAGAAUCCGGUAUAAGCCGGUGGGUUUCGGAUUUGAGUUUGUAACAGGGGAGAGGAAAAAGAACGAGGUGUGAACAGAGAGGAUGACCUAAGAGCCCAUUAACAAGCCUUGGAAUCAUACACAGAAACCAUAAUUCAAUGGAAUCAUCCAAACAAAAAAAAACAUGAAGAAGCCUGGAAAAUGAUGCUGAAAACUGAAAGAUACACAUUACACACCUCAUCCCAACCCACCCCAUCAUAGAACAGUGGGUUGGGAUAAUACACAGAAACCAUUAUUCAAUGGAAUCAUCCCAAAAAAAAAAAAAAAAAGAAGCCUGGAAAAUGAUGCUGAAAACUGAAAGAUACACACCUCAUCCCAACCCACUCCAUCAUAGAGCAGUGGGUGGAUCACAAGUUACAGCUACAAAUAGAUAGAGAUACGUAUCAUGGUUGGAGAGGGAAGAUCUUUUUCUCAUUCUUGUCUGCGGUGGGUUUGGGUGGUUCAGCCCCUCCACCACCCUUGAUGGGGCGGUGCUCUCCGCAGCAAUUUGGGAGCAGGGUAGCAAUGGAAUCCACCACGUACUCCAGCACCAUCGUCUGCACAAGCUUCCUCUUUUUAGGGAUGAGACUCCCUGUAUUUUUGGGUUUGAAGGUGGGAGGCUUUGUGGCCAUUUCCUCACCUGGCUUCUGUCGUGCCUCCAUCCCUCUGUUUGUCUCUCUCCCUAUCGACGGUUAAUUCAAGCACUGGUGGCUGGUGAGGAGUGAGGCUUAUGGGUUAUAUUAUGUGCAUAACCAGGCAGCCGUCGACAAGAA